GACGAACGCUGGCGGCGUGCCUAAUACAUGCAAGUAGAACGCACAGUUUAUACCGUAGCUUGCUACACCAUAGACUGUGAGUUGCGAACGGGUGAGUAACGCGUAGGUAACCUGCCUGGUAGCGGGGGAUAACUAUUGGAAACGAUAGCUAAUACCGCAUAAUAUUGAUUAUUGCAUGAUAAUUGAUUGAAAGAUGCUAUUGCAUCACUACCAGAUGGACCUGCGUUGUAUUAGCUAGUAGGUGAGGUAACGGCUCACCUAGGCGACGAUACAUAGCCGACCUGAGAGGGUGAUCGGCCACACUGGGACUGGGACACGGCCCAGACUCCUACGGGAGGCAGCAGUAGGGAAUCUUCGGCAAUGGACGAAAGUCUGACCGAGCAACGCCGCGUGAGUGAAGAAGGUUGUCGGAUCGUAAAGCUCUGUUGUAAGAGAAGAACGGGUGUGAGAGUGGAAAGUUCACACUGUGACGGUAUCUUACCAGAAAGGGACGGCUAACUACGUG
rnacentral:rRNA from 1 species